rnacentral:rRNA from 1 species
GACGAACCGUGCGAACGUUGUUCGGAAUCACUGGGCUUAAAGGGCGCGUAGGCGGGCUGCCAAGUCCGGGGUGAAAUCUUUCGGCUCAACCGGAAAAUAGCCUCGGAGACUGGCGGUCUGGAGUGAGGUAGGGGCAGCUGGAACUUCCGGUGGAGCGGUGAAAUGCGUUGAUAUCGAAAGGAACGCCGGUGGCGAAAGCGAGCUGCUGGACCUUUUCUGACGCUGAGGCGCGAAAGCCAGGGGAGCAAACGGG